CUUUUAAUUUUAUGAAAGGAAUUUUCCACCAUAUACUUCACUAAUCACUAACUUCAACACAGAAUUCCAUAUUAAUAAAAUACUCCCCUUCAUCUCUUCCUGCAAAGACAAACUUGUCUUGGCCAUUUUAUAUAAUGAAGAGCACCUGUUUGCCAGCCACUGUGUUUAUUGCCUUCUUCCACCCUCUCUUAAACCAUGCCCUAUCACCCUCUCAGUGAUAUCUGUUAUAGUGGUGAUAUCUAUUACAAUGGUUCUAUCUACUAGAGUGCUUCUGUCUUGGUAUUCUAUCAGAACACUUGUAAUUCCAGUGUAAAAAACCAAACAACAGCAACAAAUAAUUGCAUUUGUUAAGAGUGGUCUAACAGAACAAUGCAAGACAAAGGCACACUGGGUCAGGUGUUUUUAGGCAUUGUGGCAAUGCUCAUACCCUUUAAGAAAGGAUUUAAGUAGGGACAAUAUAUUAAUCAGGAUGAUUGUGUAUUUGCUAUCCUCUGUAAAGCAGAGCUGUCCCUGGAAAAACUGGCACUUGAUCUAUACCAUUAGAGCAUAUUAGUGAAAUCAUUGGAGUAUUAAAUACAAAAUAUGAGGGUCUAGGCAUGUUAAAUACCUGAUUUAAUCUCUCACACAUUUCAUAUAUCUUUGUGGCUACUAUAAUUCUGAAGGUUAUACUUAAGAAUCCAAGCAAGGGUAUAUAUGCUAUUACCUUAUAAUGUAGAAUAAGUACACACAUUCCAAUUAGAAACUUUUUUGAUCUGUAAAUCUUUUGUAAACACUUUGAAAGCUGCCAUAAAUGCUGCAGUUUACAGAUGCAUUUUAUUUAAGGGAACAUAUACAAACAAGUAAGUGUGCAGUCAUGCAGUACUUUAUUCUAGGUGGUUUAAAAAGUUACUAUAUUUAACAAGGAAGAAAUGAACCAAUCUCCAAUAGUUAACUGACUGCUAUACUGACUAGAAUACUACCACCAGCACAGAAGUUAUAUUUUAGGAAACUAGUGAUCCCCAGAUCAGUAUGAUCUAAGGGAUAUUUAAUUUUCUGUUAAAAAAAUAAACUGAAUCAUUUCUUUGUGAAGAAAAGCACUGCACUAAGUCUAAAAAUCCCUAAUGGAAACCUUACUUGAAUCUCUUCUGUUUUCCUGCCUUUUCACAAUACCACUUUAAAACAAGAACCAAAAGAAAGAAGUGCAACAGAACCUUAGGCUGGUCAGGUGCGUUGAGAAUAGCUCUGUGGAAGGAACCAGCAUUACCAGUUGUUUAGAGAUGCUGUGAUUCUCUGAUUGCCCUGACAGCCCAAAGCUGAAUCUUCUGCUUCUUGCUGCUCUCAUGACUGAGAGACGCUUGCUGAAACCUAGGAGAAAGCAAGCAGUGAGGAGUGAGAAGAGCGUUUGAAGCCCGGGCAGCAGGGAGGUUAUGAAGGAGUGUAUUCCUUCUCUUACUUAGGAAGAAAAAGGCAGAAGUGUGAUGCACCCAUCUGUAGUACUGCAAAAAGCAAAAAAGGAAAAAAAAAAAAAAAAAAAAAGG
rnacentral:lncRNA from 1 species